CGUCAGCGAGAAAGCGUUGCCGCAGGCAACGACCCGAAGGGCGAAGCGCGCAGCGCUGAGUCAUCCUUCCCCCACCACCA
rnacentral:sRNA from 5 species